rnacentral:rRNA from 1 species
AUUGAACGCUGGCGGCAGGCCUAACACAUGCAAGUCGAGCGGAUGAAGGGAGCUUGCUCCUGGAUUCAGCGGCGGACGGGUGAGUAAUGCCUAGGAAUCUGCCUGGUAGUGGGGGAUAACGUCCGGAAACGGGCGCUAAUACCGCAUACGUCCUGAGGGAGAAAGUGGGGGAUCUUCGGACCUCACGCUAUCAGAUGAGCCUAGGUCUGAUUAGCUAGUUGGUGGGGUAAAGGCCUACCAAGGCGACGAUCCGUAACUGGUCUGAGAGGAUGAUCAGUCACACUGGAACUGAGACACGGUCCAGACUCCUACGGGAGGCAGCAGUGGGGAAUAUUGGACAAUGGGCGAAAGCCUGAUCCAGCCAUGCCGCGUGUGUGAAGAAGGUCUUCGGAUUGUAAAGCACUUUAAGUUGGGAGGAAGGGCAGUAAGUUAAUACCUUGCUGUUUUGACGUUACCAACAGAAUAAGCACCGGCUAACUUCG